AGUUGUAAACAGUCGCCAUGGCAGGCGGAGGGGGAGGCGGCUUUCUCGCUAUUUCUGUGGUAUCUCUGCUGAAUUAUGUGAUAGCUAAGCCGUCAGCGGGAACAGAUAUUGUUCUAGAUGAAAAAGCUUUAACUACUCAUCGAAUUGACAGUUUGAAUAUACUAUUAUAUACGUUCUUAUUAAUUCUGACUGUUGUGACAAUCUGGAUCUUCAAGUAUCGGCGGGCGCGGUAUCUGCACGAGACCGGCCUGGCUGUCAUCUAUGGAUUGAUAGUGGGUGCCAUCUUGAGGUACAGUGGAGACAACACUUCACUGAGUCAUAUGAGAGUUGUUGCAGCAACAGGAGAAGGAUAUAAAGAAAAUGUUCCUCCAGACACAUUGUGGUUCAAAUAUGCCUAUGCAAAUAGUAGUCAAAACAGAACAUAUGCAUACACUUUCAAAGGAGAGAUCCCAGAGACACUUGAAACUGAAAUUGUCCAAAAGGCCACUUUUGAUCCGGAAAUAUUCUUCAACAUUCUCCUUCCUCCCAUCAUAUUUAGUGCUGGCUACAGUCUUAAAAGGAAACAUUUUUUCAAAAACUUGGGGGCAAUUUUCACUUUUGCCUUUCUGGGAACAACAAUAUCAACAUUUGUUGUUGGUGGUAUCGUGCAUGGUUUCUUGUACCUGGUUGGCUCUUCAAUGACCUUCAUUGACAGUCUGCUCUUUGGGGCACUGAUAUCAGCAACUGAUCCUGUGACGAUUUUGGCUAUCUUCUCUGAUCUUCAUGUUGAUGUCAAUUUGUAUGCAUUGGUGUUUGGAGAAAGUGUCUUAAAUGAUGCUGUUGCAAUUGUUUUAACAAGUGCGAUAGAAAGUUAUGGAGGCACAAGUGGAGGAUUUGAAACGUCUGCUUUCUUCUUGGCCAUCGUUAACUUCCUGUGGAUCUUCAGCAUGUCUUUCAUCAUUGGCUCCGUAAUGGGUUGCCUUACUGCCAUCCUCACAAAGUUCACCCGCUUGAAGGAUUUCCCUCUUCUGGAGGCUGCACUCUUUGUACUCAUGUCAUACUCUACAUUCCUCAUGGCAGAAGCUGCCGAUUUAACAGGAAUCGUUGCUGUGUUAUUCUGUGGAAUAUGUCAAGCACAUUACACCUACAACAACCUGUCAACUGAAAGUCGCAUAAAUACAAAGGCCAUCUUUGAAUUACUUAAUUUCUUAUCAGAAAACUUCAUCUUUUCAUACAUUGGAGUCUCAAUGUUUACCUUUGCUCACCACAAAUGGGAUGUUAGUUUCAUCUGUAUAGCUUUUAUAGCUAUUAUAAUUGGAAGAUUCAUGAACAUCUAUCCAUUGUCCUUCUUGCUCAACAUUGGACGACAGCCAAAAAUACCUGUGAAUUUCAUGAAUAUGCUAUUCUUCUCUGGUCUUAGAGGGGCCAUUGCCUUUGGCCUGGCCAUCCGUAGCACCAACAGUGAUGCUCGCAAAUCCAUAUUGACCACAACCUCCCUUAUUGUCAUAGUGACAGUCAUACUCUGUGGAGGGCUAACAACUCAAGUCCUAUCAUGGCUGGGCAUUCCUGUUGAUGUUAAUGAUGAUGAGACACACCACCUGAAUCAGUUCCAGCCCAUCAGAAAUAGUUACAAAAGCAUUGAUGGUACAAGGGGUCCUGGAGCAGAAGAGGGAGGAGAAACCGCAACAGACUCAAACAAAUUUGAGAAAGCGUGGCUCCUUCGCAUCUGGUCGCAGUUUGAUGUGCGAUAUAUGAAGCCCUUCUUGACUAACAGUCGACCUACGCUCUUGGACACAACACCUUUGUGCUGUGCCCCUCUUGCCAGGCUACUGACAACAACAGAGCAGUUAACACAGGGUCACAAUCCUCUUAAUGAUGACAUGCUUGACGACACACUAAUUGGUUUUGGAGGAGUGCGUACCUCCAUAGAUUCUUCAAGGCAGCGGGAGCGUGACUGUGGGGAUAACCAUAGCCAACUCAGUAUUGAUGCCCAGAAUUUCAUGUAACUAACAACCCUGUUCAUCAACCAUCACCACAACCACUACUUACUCCUGCUAGCACUCCCACCACCAUGGAACUACUAACUACUGAACGACCAGACUGAAUGUAACUAAACCAGUGUAUGAUGGGGACUUAGGCCUGGGUUCUGCAGGAAGUGUGGCCACUCGUGUGUCUGUUGCCGGCUCCCGAGGCCAAGACCUGUGAACAAUUAUUAACCACUCUAAUGAAGCAUUGCUUACUCAUCUUUGCCUCCACUGGAAAAUCCAUGGUUUCUACUGACUGGUGUAAAUAUAAGAAAAAACUUUCCAUGAAAUGACAGAUGUGACAUUCUAGAAAUAUAUCUGAAAAUUUUGAAAUAUGUGUUAUAAACGAUUCAAGACAGCUCUCAAUGUGCAAACAAUUAUGUGUGAAAAGUUGUCAAAGGCAGUGUGAGUGUAUAUUGACAAUGGUGUAUCAGUGUUAAUUAUUUGCGUAAGUGGUGUUUGAGUGUUACUGUGCAGUUCACCCAUGUCCUAUACUGUGCUGCAAAAGUAAAUAUGUGCUCAACACUAUGUAGUUUCAAAUCAUUUGCAUUCCAGUCUGGUUACAAGAUCCUCUUAUAGGCUUUUUUGUUCACAGAAUUACAGAAGGUGAUACUACAUGGUAUUCAUGCUAAAUUGUAUACUGUACAAUAGUAAAUUACAGAGUUAAAUAUUUUUAUUAGUAGUAAUAAUUCUUUUUUUCAUAUUUUCAUGUGAUGAAUAAGGUAAUUCAUUCUUUGUGGUUGUGCAAUAUCAUAUUGUGCAAUCUACAUAUAGUAAUGUCAUACACAGAAUGUAAAUAUGUUUUUGUUUUUGACUUAAGUGAUCUUAUAUAUUUUCAUGAUGUUCAGAAUAAAUUAUCACUAAUGCUAGAAUACCUUCAGAUAAGGGAAACUUCACUGAAGUUCAUUCUCUGUUUCAUAAUCUCAUGCAGGUGUUCAAGUUCAUAAUAAUGGACAUCACAUACAAACACACACACACACACACACACACACACACACACACACACACACACACACACACACACACACACACACACACACACACUUAUAUAAAACAUGCAGUACUGUAAUACGUACUGUAGUGUGUUCAUGUUGCAUCCAUUUUGUAAGAUGCUUUUAUUUCAAGUUUACAUUAAGUAUAAAAUGCAUUGAGCAAGGCAACAUAUAUUGCAGUUCUUAUUGGUUAUGUGCACAUCCUUUGUGAAAUCCGUAAGUCUGGAAAGCCCUCAUUUUGUCCAACAUUUUUGUUAUUUCCAUAUAAUAUCAGGAAGAAUAUUAAAAACAUUCUUUGAUAACUGAAUAUUAGUUAUCCCAAGAUUUUAUAGAAAUUCUCAAAAUGUAACAAUAAAUUACUUCAAGAUAAUUUAAUUAAAAUGGAGGACCAAAAGAAUCUGAAAUGAGGAUUUGCCAAGAACUUUGUAAGUGCUUUGCAACAAUGAAUUUCUUUACAUAUGACCAGUGUUUACAUUAUCUCAUGAUUUAAUUUGCAUUUGUUCAACAAAUAUGAGGAGUUUAUUAUCUUAUGAAGAUUGUAUACUGUAUUGGAGAGAUGUAUGAGGAUAUUGCUGUGGCUUAACCAUCACACUUGUUCAGUGGUGGUGUAAUUUAAGCAUCAUAUAUAUAUAUAUAUAUAUAUAUAUAUAUAUAUAUAUAUAUAUAUAUAUAUAUAUAUAUAUAUAUAUAUAUAUAUAUAUAUAUAUAUAUAUAUAUAUAUAUAUAUAUAUAUAUAUAUAUAUAUAUAUAUAUAUAUAUAUAUAUAUCACAUAUUUAUAAUAUUUAUUGAUAUAUUAUUUGGAUUUAAACACCAAAGAACCUGUUUUACUGUAUGUUUAUAUUUUCAUGGUUUAAAUAUUUUUCAAAGUGUUGUAUUCACAUCUGUAAAUAUAAACUUACUGUAUUGUACGGUUUUGUGUAAUUGUUAUGGAAAAAUUCUGCUAAAGGUCCAAACUUCUUGAAGCAUAUUGAGACUUCAAGAACUAUUUUGGUUGCCAGAUAUAUGUAAGUAAUAGAUUAUAUAUUGUGGAAGCAGAUUGAAGCUUCAAGAAAUAUUUUGGUUGGCAAAUGUAGAAUUGUAAUUAAUAGAUUAUAUAUUAUGGUAAUCAGAAGUUUUCUGAGAAAGGUUAAUAUGUGCCAAGGGGAAAUGUUACUAAUGCUUAUUUGCAUACAUACCAUGGGAAAUUGCAGAAAUUAUUUUAUUAUUAUAAUAUUUAUUUGAGUACAUAUUGAUAUACAGUAGUAGAUUGUCAGCAGGAAAUAAGAUUUUCCCAACCAAUGCAUUUCCCUACUUGGGUAUAUUUGGAGAUAUUGAGUGAUAUAACAUAAGGAAAAUUAUGGUUUGUUUUAACUGAAAAUAAAUGUGUAAAAUGCCCACCCAGAUAGUCAUUUGAAUGGUACAUUUUUUUUGCAUCCACACACCUCACCUCAGCCCUCUUAUACACACUCGCUAUCAAGCUGCAACCUAAGCAAAUCAACUGUAGGGUGCCCAUCAUGUCAGUCUCUUGCUUUAUGAAAUGUGUAGAGUUGAUCAUUGUUUACAUACAAUAUACAUAUGUUGUGAAUCUAUUAAUCCUUUGACUCACACGUACACCAUAGGAAAUGUAUUUAACUGUGGUUUUACAUCUGAAAUGGGAAUCAUAGGUUUCAUCAUCAUUACAAUCUUGAAGCAUUUAUCACCAUUACAUAUUCCUAGCCUGUGUUAAAAUUGUGUUCCUCCAUAAAGCAUGUUGAAACUU
rnacentral:misc_RNA from 1 species